CUUUUUUUGUUUGUUUAGGAAGUUUGACCUGCCCGGUGAAUUUGUUUUAACGGCCGCGGUAUACUGACCGUGCAAAGGUAGCAUAAUCAUUAGCCUUUUAAUAGGAGGCUGGUAUGAAUGGUUUGACGAGGAGUUAACUGUCUUAUAUGAAUUGUUUGAAUUUGUCUUUUUGGUUAAAAGACUUUAAAAUAUUAUUGGUAGACGAGAAGACCCUAUAGAGCUUUACAUUAAGUUUAAAGUAUAUUUUUUGUUUAAUUUUUUUGUGGUUUAUUCUUUUUUGUUUUAUUGGGGUGAUAUUUGAAUAUAAUUAACUUUUUUUUUUGUUUACAUUGAUUUAUGUUUAUAUUGAUCUUUUAUUAUGGAUUUUUAGACUAAGUUACCUUAGGGAUAACAGCGUAAUCACUUCUUGGAGUUCUUAUUUACGGAGUGGGUUGCGACCUCGAUGUUGGAUUAAGAUUAUUAUUGGGUGUAGUAGCUCAAUUAGUAGGUCUGUUCGACCUUUAAAUUCUUACAUGAUCUGAGUUCAAACCGG
rnacentral:rRNA from 1 species